rnacentral:rRNA from 1 species
AUUGAACGCUGGCGGCAUGCCUUACACAUGCAAGUCGAACGGCAGCACGGGGGCAACCCUGGUGGCGAGUGGCGAACGGGUGAGUAAUACAUCGGAACGUGCCCAGUAGUGGGGGAUAGCCCGGCGAAAGCCGGAUUAAUACCGCAUACGACCUACGGGUGAAAGCGGGGGAUCGCAAGACCUCGCGCUAUUGGAGCGGCCGAUGUCAGAUUAGGUUGUUGGUGAGGUAAAGGCUCACCAAGCCGACGAUCUGUAGCUGGUCUGAGAGGACGACCAGCCACACUGGGACUGAGACACGGCCCAGACUCCUACAGGAGGCAGCAGUGGGGAAUUUUGGACAAUGGGGGCAACCCUGAUCCAGCCAUGCCGCGUGCGGGAAGAAGGCCUUCGGGUUGUAAACCGCUUUUGUCAGGGAAGAAAUCUUCUGAGUUAAUACCUCGGGAGGAUGACGGUACCUGAAGAAUAAGCACCGGCUAACUACGUGCCAGCCGCCGCCGUAA